rnacentral:rRNA from 1 species
UACGUAGGUGGCGAGCGUUGUCCGGAAUUACUGGGUGUAAAGCGCGUGUAGGCGGGAGGCCAAGUCUGUGGUGAAAUCGCUCGGCUUAACUGGGCGGGGUCCAUGGAAACUGGUCACCUGGAGGUCGGUAGAGGCAAGUGGGAUUCCAGGUGUAGCGGUGAAAUGCGUAGAUAUCUGGAGGAACACCGGUGGCGAAGGCGGCAUCCUGGACCGAUACUGACGCUGAGGAGCGAAAGCCAGGGGAGCAAACGGG